rnacentral:rRNA from 1 species
GACGAACGCUGGCGGCGUGCUUAACACAUGCAAGUCGAACGAAGAGCGAUGGAAGCUUGCUUCUAUCAAUCUUAGUGGCGAACGGGUGAGUAACGCGUAAUCAACCUGCCCUUCAGAGGGGGACAACAGUUGGAAACGACUGCUAAUACCGCAUACGAUCUAAUCUCGGCAUCGAGGAUAGAUGAAAGGUGGCCUCUACAUGUAAGCUAUCACUGAAGGAGGGGAUUGCGUCUGAUUAGCUAGUUGGAGGGGUAACGGCCCACCAAGGCGAUGAUCAGUAGCCGGUCUGAGAGGAUGAACGGCCACAUUGGGACUGAGACACGGCCCAGACUCCUACGGGAGGCAGCAGUGGGAAUCUUCCGCAAUGGACGAAAGUCUGACGAAGCAACGCCGCGUGAGUGAUGACGGCCUUCGGGUUGUAAAGCUCGGUUAAUCGGGACGAAAGGCCUUCUUGCGAAUAGUGAGAAGGAUUGACGGUACCGGAAUAGAAAGCCACGGCUAACUACGUG